UACACUAAAACUAAGUAAUAACAUGUAGGAAGUAUAUCAAGUCUGAAUAUUAUUGAAAUUGUAAAUAAUGUAUUUUUUUCAAUUAAUUUUUAUCAGUACGUAUCAUCUUUUAUUUUGUCUGAAGAUGUGGUGUACUAAAUAUGUGCUGUGCAUACAAAACUAAUGUAAUGAACCAACCAUGAUCCUCAUUACAGUGAAGUUGAAUGUGUGUUUUUAAGGAGCAUUGGUUGAACCGAAUUCAAAUGAACAAAUUUACAGGUCUCAACUUAUUUUCGGCAAAAAUGUUUUUGCUGACAAAUUACAACGAUAAAGAUGGACGUCAAAUUAAACUAGAGGAAAACAGCGUUUUUUCUAAAUUGACUUACGUCAAUCGAUAGGUGGAUCUUUAUCUUGUGAGAUGUGAAAAUUUUAUUCUACCUUUAAUGAGUCAUAUGGGCGAAAUUUUCUCAUUUAAUGUCGAAAAAAUCUCGAUCGAAACAAAAUUUUGUAUGGACAUUUUAUAUAGAUGAAAAAUUAUUAUUUUUAUAGAAACUGCUGGAUCUACGUCUAACAUUCGGACUUCAGUAAUUUCUUCAAAAAAAACUCUUUUCAAUAAAGCGAAUGCAAAAAUGUCACCCCAUAAUGAACAAGAAAUUUCGCCCCUACCUAACAAUGUUCGACUGUACACAUCCGUGCUCUCUAUCAAGCAUUUUAGAUGAGGCAUAAACUUCUCUAUAUAUAUAUAUAUAUAUAUAUAUAAUUUAUUAAUGUGUAGAGUAUUUUUAGUUAAAAUAGCACUAAAUUACUUAAACAAAAACAAUAUGAACAGCAACUUAUCUUGUAAUACCAAAUAGUAUAUAAUAAUGAUAUUCUCUCUACACAAUAGAUGAUAUUUUCCAACAUUGAAAUCUCAUAUAAGGCAAACUAAUUGGAAUCUUAUAUAAAAUGCCAAGCAAUAUAUUAUUUAUAUUUAUAAAUAAUAUAAUUUUAAUAUUAUUUUACAAAAUAUAUGUGUUUUUCGUUGUUAGAAUACUUUUAACGGAAAGUCAAGAAUUAAUUUUCAAUAAAAUUUGUUUAAAAUUA